UUUUCUGUGGCUUCUCAAGCCUUUUAGUUUAUUUUUGGAGGGUUUUACAAUGUACAGUAUAAUGCCAAGUCAGGAUGCUCAGACAUUGUUAUUAUGUACUCUUUGAUUAAUCUCUGAUCUUGGUAAUGAUAUAUCA
ensembl:snoRNA small nucleolar RNA SNORA8